rnacentral:sRNA from 1 species
AAAAAAUACAAAAUAAUAGGUUAUAUAAUAAUGAUAAUCAAUUAAGCAUAUUACAUUUUGAUUUUUUCUAAAAUAAUAUAGCCCCGCGGUAUACCGCAGGUUAAAAUCUAGUGUUCAUUAAAAGUUAAAAGGCUAUAAAUAAAAAUAGACUACAUAAUGGGUAGAAUUAAAAAAUGAUAGUCUUGGAAAGACAUUCCUAACAAUUUGUCUAAUUU